UUCCGAUAGCCGGAAUUGAAUUAAAUCGAAAAAGUCGUUUUACUGUUACACUUAUAAAAGAUUGUCAAUUUCUGAGAGAUGAAUUGAAGUUUGCGAAUGGCAGAGAAAGGGGAACAACAACAGAUAAAAUGGGCUUUGUUCAAGCCUUUGGUUUAUCAGUGGAGUAAUGAGAUAUUUCUGGGCACAUUCCUGUUGCAAUAAAAUUUCAGCUAUAUCUGAACUGAGAUACUGAGAUAAUUUGUACUGAGAUACUGCAACAAAGGUUGAUCAGCAGUAUCUUUGCUCCGUACGACUUUGUACAAUACCUCACUCGAGGACUGCAUCACCCUGCUGCCAAUGAAAUGAAAAGGCACAUCUUUUUUUAUUUUUAAUUUUUUUUUUAUGUAAUUAGCUUUUAUUCUGGUUGAUAAAAAACCUAUGUUGAAAGAUGGAACGGUUGGACAUAGAUUUGUUCUUACUAUUAUUUUCAGUGCAAUUAUUUAGGGCGCUGUGGAAUCAAGCAGUUCUGUUCCGAACCAAACUGCAAAAACUAUAAAUUUAAUUUUCAUUUUUUCUUAAA